rnacentral:rRNA from 1 species
GAUGAACGCUAGCGGCAGGCCUAACACAUGCAAGUCGAGGGGUAGAACACUUCGGUGUUUGAGACCGGCGCACGGGUGCGUAACGCGUACGCAAUCUACCUUGUACAGGGGAAUAGCCCAGAGAAAUUUGGAUUAGUGCCCCAUAGUAUAUAACCUUCGCAUGUUGGUUAUAUUAAAGUUCCAACGGUACAAGAUGAGCAUGCGUCCCAUUAGUUAGUUGGUAAGGUAACGGCUUACCAAGACGAUGAUGGGUAGGGGUCCUGAGAGGGAGAUCCCCCACACUGGUAAUGAGACACGGAACAGACUCCUACGGGAGGCAGCAGUGAGGAAUAUUGGUCAAUGGGCGCAAGCCUGAACCAGCCAUGCCGCGUGCAGGAAGACGGUCCUAUGGAUUGUAAACUGCUUUUAUACAGGAAGAAACAACUCUACGUGUAGAGUCUUGACGGUACUGUAGGAAUAAGGAUCGGCUAACUCCGUGCCAGCCGCCGCUGUAAGAC